UACGUAGGGGGCAAGCGUUGUCCGGAAUCAUUGGGCGUAAAGCGCGUGUAGGCGGCCCGGUAAGUCCGCUGUGAAAGUCGGGGGCUCAACCCUCGAAAGCCGGUGGAUACUGUCGGGCUCGAGUACGGGAGAGGCGAGUGGAAUUCCUGGUGUAGCGGUGAAAUGCGCAGAUAUCAGGAGGAACACCAAUUGCGAAGGCAGCUCGCUGGGACGUUACUGACGCUGAGACGCGAAAGCGUGGGGAGCAAACAGG
rnacentral:rRNA from 1 species